rnacentral:rRNA from 1 species
UGGGGAAUUUUGGACAAUGGGCGAAAGCCUGAUCCAGCAAUGCCGCGUGUGUGAAGAAGGCCUUCGGGUUGUAAAGCACUUUUGUCCGGAAAGAAAUCCUUGGCUCUAAUACAGUCGGGGGAUGACGGUACCGGAAGAAUAAGCACCGGCUAACUACGUGCCAGCAGCCGCGGUAAUACGUAGGGUGCAAGCGUUAAUCGGAAUUACUGGGCGUAAAGCGUGCGCAGGCGGUUUGCUAAGACCGAUGUGAAAUCCCCGGGCUCAACCUGGGAACUGCAUUGGUGACUGGCAGGCUAGAGUAUGGCAGAGGGGGGUAGAAUUCCACGUGUAGCAGUGAAAUGCGUAGAGAUGUGGAGGAAUACCGAUGGCGAAGGCAGCCCCCUGGGCCAAUACUGACGCUCAUGCACGAAAAGGCGUGGGGAGCAAAACAGGAUUAGAUACCCUGGUAGUCCACGCCCUAAAACGAUGUCAACUAGUUGUUGGGGGAUUCAUUUUCCUUAGUAACGUAGCUAACGCGUGAAGUUGACCGCCUGGGGAGUACGGUCGCAAGAUUAAAACUCAAAUGAAUUGACGGGGUCAAAGCUGUUUCCU